AACGAACGCUGGCGGCAUGCCUAACACAUGCAAGUCGAACGAAGGCUUCGGCCUUAGUGGCGCACGGGUGAGUAUCGCGUGGGAACCUGCCCUUUGGUACGGAAUAACUGCGGGAAACUGCAGCUAAUACCGUAUACGUCCUCCGGGAGAAAGAUUUAUCGCCGAAGGAGGGGCCUGCGUCCGAUUAGGUAGUUGGUGAGGUAACGGCUCACCAAGCCGACGAUCGGUAGCUGGUCUGAGAGGAUGAUCAGCCACACUGGGACUGAGACACGGCCCAGACUCCUACGGGAGGCAGCAGUGGGGAAUAUUGGACAAUGGGCGAAAGCCUGAUCCAGCAAUGCCGCGUGAGUGAUGAAGGCCUUAGGGUUGUAAAGCUCUUUCACCCACGACGAUGAUGACGGUAGUGGGAGAAGAAGCCCCGGCUAACUUCGUGCCAGCAGCCGCGGUAA
rnacentral:rRNA from 1 species